rnacentral:rRNA from 1 species
AUGACCACAAAGAAGGUUGCCCAUUAUUUCUCUGAUCAUUCCAUCACAGUCGUCAGCGAUGCUCCACUAUCAGAGAUUUUGCACAACAGAGAUGCAACUGGUCGAGUGGCCAAAUGGGCGAUUGAACUUCUUCCCCUUGAUAUCAAGUUUGAGGCAAAGAAAGCCCUUAAGUCCCAGGCAAUAGCAGAUUUCCUCGCCGAGUGGAUUGAACAGCAGCAGCCGACUGAAGUUCACUCGGAGCACUGGACCAUGUUCUUUGAUGGCUCUAAGAUGUUGAAUGGUUCCGGUGCUGGGGUUGUCCUGGUUUCCCCCAGAGGAGAUAAGCUCAGAUAUGUGCUCCAGAUUCACUUUGAUUCCUCCAACAAUGAGGCAGAGUAUGAGGCCCUCUUAUAUGGGUUGCGCAUGGCCAUUUCACUCGGCGUCUGUCGCCUAAUGGUCUAUGGCGACUCGGAUUUAGUGGUCAAUCAGGUGAUGAAAGAGUGGGACGUGAGAAGCCCAGCCAUGACUGGAUACUGCAGUGCAGUGAGGAAGCUGGAAAAGAAGUUUGAAGGGUUGGAGCUCCAUCAUAUACCCCGACUGAGAAAUCAAGCAGCUGAUGAUCUAGCAAAGAUAGGUUCCAAGAGAGAAGCCAUUCCGAGUGGUGUGUUCUUGGAGCAUAUACACACUCCGUCAGUCAAGAAGAUCCUUUCACCGAAGAAAUUCCGCAGCCCAAGAGUGCCACAGAUCCGACUGAAGUUGAAGUCCCAACGGUGGUCGACUUGA